rnacentral:rRNA from 2 species
GUGCGAGACCGAUAGCGAACAAGUACCGUGAGGAAAAGAUGAAAAGAACUUUGAAAAGAGAGUUAAAGAGUACCUGAAACUGCUGAAAGGGAAGCGAAUCGUAUCCAGUGUCUAUAAUCUGCGGCAUAUUUCAUUGGCGCGUGAGUACGUGCAGCGUUUUGGAAGCGGUCUCCGCUCCUGUCGUUGUUGUGCAUUUUUUUGCUGGUGCCCUGUGCUGUGGUGGGACGUCAGAGUCAGUUUGUAUGUUGCGGGAAAUGGUUAUCAGGGAGGUAGGUCAUUUCGGUGGCUGUUAUAUCCUGGUGACUAGUCGUCGUGGCCGAGACUGAGGUGCCUACAAUGUGCUUUCGAGUCUACGGAACUCUCGUUUGGUUGUUUGCUUGGAUAGCUUGCUAUGUUAGUGAACUAGUCGAGCGAUUGAGAUCUGUAGUAACUUGUUGCUGUUCGGGACUUUGA